rnacentral:rRNA from 1 species
AUGAACGCUGGCGGCGUGCCUAAUACAUGCAAGUCGAGCGAACAGACGAGGAGCUUGCUCCUCUGACGUUAGCGGCGGACGGGUGAGUAACACGUGGAUAACCUACCUAUAAGACUGGGAUAACUUCGCGAAACCGGAGCUAAUACCGGAUAAUAUAUUGAACCGCAUGGUUCAAUAGUGAAAGACGGUUUUGCUGUCACUUAUAGAUGGAUCCGCGCCGCAUUAGCUAGUUGGUAAGGUAACGGCUUACCAAGGCAACGAUGCGUAGCCGACCUGAGAGGGUGAUCGGCCACACUGGAACUGAGACACGGUCCAGACUCCUACGGGAGGCAGCAGUAGGGAAUCUUCCGCAAUGGGCGAAAGCUUGACGGAGCAACGCCGCGUGAGUGAUGAAGGUCUUCGGAUCGUAAAACUCUGUUAUUAGGGAAGAACAAAUGUGUAAGUAACUAUGCACGUCUUGACGGUACCUAAUCAGAAAGCCACGGCUAACUACGUG